GUCCCUAUAGCGCAGUGGAUAGCGCGUUGGAUUUUUACUCCAAAUGUACCGGGUUCGUUCCCCGGCAGAGAUG
rnacentral:tRNA from 1 species